rnacentral:rRNA from 1 species
AUUGAACGCUGGCGGCAGGCCUAACACAUGCAAGUCGAACGAGCGGCGGACGGGUGAGUAAUGUCUGGGAAUCUGCCCGAUGGAGGGGGAUAACUACUGGAAACGGUGGCUAAUACCGCAUACUAUCGGAUGCACCCCGAUGGGAUUAGCUAGUAGGUGGGGUAACGGCUCACCUAGGCGACGAUCUCUAGCUGGUCUGAGAGGAUGACCAGCCACACUGGAACUGAGACACGGUCCAGACUCCUACGGGAGGCAGCAGUGGGGAAUAUUGCACAAUGGGCGCAAGCCGGAUGCAGCCAUGCCGCGUGUAUGAAGAAGGCCUUCGGGUUGUAAAGUACUUUCAGCGAGGAGGCGUUACCCGCAGAAGAAGCACCGGCUAACUCCGUGCCAGCAGCCGCGGUAAUAC